CACCGCGAUCCUGAAUAAGGGACAGCGCAGAAGAUGAGAAAGUCUCGUUUAAUUAUUUUUGGAAUCCUGCUGCUGACUCAACUGAUCGCAGGGGGAUUAGACAAAUCGAAUCCCGGACCAGAGGAGGAAUGCCUAAGCCAUGGAGGAGACUGCUUACCCCAGUGCGUCUACCCGCAGGACAAAAAGUUACAAAUUUGGUGUCCUGACAAUCUUCAAUGCUGCAGGCAAUAUUAUUAAUCAUGGCGUCUUCGACACGAACAUUUUCCAGUUAUUUAGCUCACUUACAACCGUCCCUGGAUGGCAACUGAAAGAUGAACUGUAUCAAUAAAUACACGUGGUUCUAUUCAUCACA